rnacentral:tRNA from 1 species
GCCCGACUGGCGCAAUUGGAUAACGCGCCAAGACCUCUAAUGAAUGUUGAGAAUUCAGUUGAUAUCUGGUGAUUGUGGGUUCGAGUCCCACGUCGGUAU